rnacentral:rRNA from 1 species
GCUUGCAGUGGUACGGGCAGACUAGAGUGCGGUAGGGAGAUUGGAAUUCCUGGUGUAGCGGUGGAAUGCGCAGAUAUCAGGAGGAACACCGAUGGCGAAGGCAGAUCUCUGGGCCGUAACUGACGCUGAGGAGCGAAAGGGUGGGGAGCAAACAGGCUUAGAUACCCUGGUAGUCCACCCCGUAAACGUUGGGAACUAGUUGUGGGGUCCUUUCCACGGAUUCCGUGACGCAGCUAACGCAUUAAGUUCCCCGCCUGGGGAGUACGGCCGCAAGGCUAAAACUCAAAGGAAUUGACGGGGACCCGCACAAGCGGCGGAGCAUGCGGAUUAAUUCGAUGCAACGCGAAGAACCUUACCAAGGCUUGACAUAUACGAGAACGGGCCAGAAAUGGUCAACUCUUUGGACACUCGUAAACAGGUGGUGCAUGGUUGUCGUCAGCUCGUGUCGUGAGAUGUUGGGUUAAGUCCCGCAACGAGCGCAACCCUCGUUCUAUGUUGCCAGCACGUAAUGGUGGGAACUCAUGGGAUACUGCCGGGGUCAACUCGGAGGAAGGUGGGGAUGACGUCAAAUCAUCAUGCCCCUUAUGUCUUGGGCUUCACGCAUGCUACAAUGGCCGGUACAAUGGGCUGCGAUACCGUAAGGUGGAGCGAAUCCCAAAAAGCCGGUCCCAGUUCGGAUUGAGGUCUGCAACUCGACCUCAUGAAGUCGGAGUCGCUAGUAAUCGCAGAUCAGCAACGCUGCGGUGAAUACGUUCCCGGGUCUUGUACACACCGCCCGUCAAGUCAUGAAAGUCGGUAACACCUGAAGCCGGUGGCCUAACCCUUGUGGAGGGAGCCCCGUC